GUGCAGUUUCAGUGGAUAUCCAUGACUUUACUCAUUCUGCUAAUAGCAUUCAAGACUUUACUCUCUUCUACUAAUAGUAUGGAGCUAUCCACAUUUUUGUGAGUGCUAUGCAUAAAAAGUAACUUUUGCAAACUCUGCUGGCGACUGGCCCUUCCAUUCUUCAAAGGUAGAGAGCCUGCUUUUUAGCCCUCCAUGGAGCAGAGCUUUCUUAGAAGUCAAUUCUUUUUCAGAGCGGGCCAAUAAAGUCCAGUCCGAGUUUUACCUCCAGCCGACUCUUUCGGGCGCCCGGUUCGGGCAAAGGGGAGGGCCAAGUGGGGGAAAGUCCAUCGUGGACGAACUCCAGUCCGGGUUUUGUUACCCCGGCGGCUGGAGGAGUCGGCGGCGGCUUCUUGCCCUGUGUGCUCUUUCUCCUCGGCGCCCCCAGCAGUCCCCUUCCGCGUGGUCCUGCCGCCGACUGGUACAAGAACAACAGCUCAGGUGCCACUGAACCAGAUCGGCAAGAUGUCUUGAUAGGAGAAGGCUUUUACUGGAACCGCAGCCAUUGCUCCUGUUUUUGAAUUCUUCAAUCAGGUUUUCACUGAGGGAACUAGUUCAUUUAUGCUUCCCUUAUCGGAUAUGGAUUAAAUGGACUAAAGCUCUAUGGAGAGACUUCUAUCUUCCACAGACACGCUACGAAGAGGCUCAGAUCAUAGAAGAACAGGUCCAUGUUUUGAUGUUCCAGGCUGGACCCACUGGCAGAUCAUUUUCCAAGGCAAACUGGCCUGAACUGGUGGACCCCUUACUCUCCAGUUUUGGUGACAGUUUUUGCAGUCUCCACUCAAUGCCCCCCUGAUUGUCGCUGUUUCCAAACUCCCUGUCCGUGGCUUGGCUGAAGGAAGCUGAAGAGAAGAUGCUGGACCUCAGCUUUCUGACCGAAGAGGAGUACGGGAAACUGAUGACAGUUCUGCAGAGGGAUGCAGAACUCAAGAAGAAAGAUGGCGACCGUAUCAGACGUAUACAAGGCUCACUGAAAGAUGAAAAGAAGAAGUUUGUGACGGGUGAAUGGUUUCAUGAGGUGAAGGCGCAGCGCUUCCAGGAGGCCUUGGAAGGGCCGGAUCUACUCCGAGCUUCAAUUAAAAAGAAAAAAGAACAACUUUGAUGGUGAGAAUGUGAUAACUAGUUACAAGUGCAAUUCAAACAGUUAGAACAAUGUUAUUUGUAGUUCAAUCAGGGGCAAUCCACAAACCAUUGACUGCUGGUUUGCAAAAAGUUUCCCAGAAAAGUAAAGC
rnacentral:lncRNA from 11 species